rnacentral:lncRNA from 1 species
GCAUUGGCCACGGAAAUCAAUAGCUGGGGUUCAUGAGGCAUUCAUAAGAUUGACAAGUGAAUAAAUUAAAACCCAAAGGUUAGGACGCUGAAAGAGAAGUUAAUUUUAUGUCUGCCCUGGAGCUCCCCUUUUCAGACUCAAAUUAAGACUGUGUAUAAUAAAAUGAACAUAAAGUCUUAGAUUUACCAAAAAGGCUCCACUAAGACCUACAUCGUCAGAAAACCAGAGAUUCUUUUAUCAACUUCCCCAUGCAUGGAUGGUCGCUGCUCACACUGCAUUAACAGCCCCCUCAACAGCGUGACCAAAGACUUAUUUAAACGAGUUUCUGGCUUUAAAUAAACCUGCUCUCGGCAACCAACUGUUCAUCCAGGAAGUGAUGUGACACCCCACUACACUGAAGUUUACUCAACCAGAACCCUUCAAUAAACAAUGAUCCAUCCAUUUCCAUGCCACAGUUGCCACCCUUUGAAAAAAUGUUUUAAAGUUUGGGGUUUUUUAAUAAUAAAAUUAAUUAGAAUUCACUGCUGAACCUCGGAUUUGCAAUAAAGUGU